rnacentral:rRNA from 1 species
CAUGUGGGGCAAGCGUUGUUCGGAAUUACUGGGCAUAGAGGGAGCGUAGGCGGCUUGCCAAGUCGCAGGUGAAAGUUUUCGGCCCAACCGGAAAAGUGCCUGCGAUACUGGCGAGCUUGAGUGCGCGAGGGUUGGGGGAACGAGCAGUGUAGCGGUGAAAUGCGUAGAUAUUGCUCGGAAGGCCGGAGCCGAAGGGGCCCAACUGGUACGCAACUGACGCUGAGGCACGAAAGCGUGGGGAGCAAACAGGAUUAGAUACCCUGGUAGUCCACGCCGUAAACGAUGAGCACUAGGUGGGUGCCGAGCUAUCGGUGCCCGCCGCAGCUAAUUUGAUAAGUGCUCCGCCUGGGGAGUAUGGUCGCAAGGCUG